rnacentral:rRNA from 1 species
UACAGAGGGUGCAAGCGUUAAUCGGAUUUACUGGGCGUAAAGCGUGUGUAGGUGGCUUCUUAAGUCGGUUGUGAAAGCCCUGGGCUCAACCUGGGAAUUGCAGUCGAUACUGAGAAGCUCGAGUUCGGUAGAGGGUGACGGAAUUCCCGGUGUAGCGGUGAAAUGCGUAGAUAUCGGGAGGAACAUCGAUGGCGAAGGCAAUCACCUGGGCCUGAACUGACACUGUGACACGAAAGCGUGGGUAGCAAACAGG